UUUUUUACUCCACUACCUAAGUACAUACAGAAUAGGAGCCCGUUUAGGGGCUGUAUGUUGGAGAUUGUCAACCGAAGGAUCAAAAAGAUGGCAUCCAAUUGAUUUGUUGAGAUCCAGCUGAGAACGUAACACCUGAUAUUUUUAGUUGGUUUAAUAAUUACUCCCUCUCCCAAAAUAAAUGCACUUUUUGCUAUGUACUAUCUAGAUAAGCACUUGUCCAGAUAUAGUCAGAAAUGCAUUUUGUUUGGGACAGUAAUCGCUAAAAAGGACUGAACAAGUUACCACAUUAGCGAUCUGCAUCGCUGUGUAUUUACAGUUUUAUAACUGGCUGUUGAGGACUGGAGGGUACAUGCUAGCGCCUGAAUAAUAGGCAUUCAGGUAUAUGGUUGCCUC
rnacentral:lncRNA from 1 species